rnacentral:lncRNA from 1 species
ACGAGCCCAGAGUUGCAAGCUACGACGUUGGCUUUCGGUGCUUUCAGUUACUGCAAAGCAGCCACGCAAUAGUCCAGCCUGCAUGCCGCGUGCGGCUGUGGCCAACAUGCCCACCUGCGCAACGCGCUGGCGCACCUCGUCCUUUCUCCACGAAAAUUUAUAUACACUUACACACGCGCAUUUUGCGACUCGAAAGCGCGCAUCCGCGCGGCAAAAUUCGCUCCUGGCUUUUUUGGACGAUGUACGUCCCGUUUAUUCGGCAGAGUACGACCGCUCACAUUUCUGCGAGGGGCUGCUUAAAAAUAGGGGGGUCCUUGUGAAGCAGCUGCCCGCGUUUCCAAAGCACGUAUGGUGUUGGAUUGUAAGGUGCCCAAGUACGUUUGCGAGGAAGAGAAUGUGGCCAGGCUGGAGAGGAAAGUGCAGUGGCAUAUUGGAAUGUGAGAUUAGCGUAAGCGAGUUACAGGGUGUUUGGUGCACGGGCGAAUUUACGUGCAUAUCUUUCACCGUAGCAUCAGUCCUCAGUUCACUUCUUGGAACGAACAUCAUCAUAGGUCCAAGCCCUCUCGCUUGGAGGGAUAUGCAAACAAACAUCCUGAUAAGGGUAAACUCGCACGCUAGCGAGCAUUCAACCGAGCACAUGCAUGCUUAGUUGAAUGGUGAGAUGCGACCCCCCCUUCAUUUCGUGCUCGGCAAGCCUGCCACCGCGUACCGAAUAUGUUGGCGAUGUUACAGAGACGCUGCACCUUGGUUUCUGUGCGCAAUGCGUACGAUGCUCGACCCCGCCGACCAAAACUACACGUGCCCAACUGAAGACAUUACCGGUGGUUGUGCAGCAGCUCUUGAGGCUGUUGCUGGCUGAAAUCCAUCCUGAGCUGUUGCAACACGGCUAACGCGGGCACGUCCCUAUGCAGAGCAAAUAGCUGUUCCAAGCCAACAGCGGCGUCCAUGUCACCGACAAGGCUCUAAACGUCUCAUCUGUUCUUAUGUUUAAUUAAGUUUAUGUAUGUUAUGCUUUGCGCAACUUUGUAAUUUGACUUUACUCUGAACAAGGUGCUGUAUACGUUGCACUACCAAAAACGCGACCGUUUGCUUGCACACAACUGCCUCUUCGCCAGACGCUUCCUCUUCCCGCGGCAGUUUCACGAGCCCAGUGUUGCAAGCUACGACGUAUGCUUUCAUAUCUUUUCAUAUCUUAUUCGGCUCAGGCUAAGCAGCCAGCCAAAAGUCCGAGAUGCAUGCCGCUUGUGACUGCGGCCAACAUGCCCUGAUGAGCGGCCUUUCGCCGAAAAAAUUACAUACACUUUUACAGGCGCAUUUUGAGAAUUGAACGCGCGCAUCCGCACGAUAAAUUUCGCGCCUGGCUCUUGGGGCGUCAUGUACGGACCUUUUAUUCGCGAAGUACGACCGGACACAUUUGUGCGAGAGGCUGCUUAAAUAGACGACUAGAAAUAGGGGGUUCCUUGUGAAGCAGCUGCCCGCGUUUCCUAAGCACGUAUGGUGUUGGAUUGUAAGGUGCCCAAGUACGUUUGCGAGGAAGAGAAUGUGGCCAGGCUGGAGAGGAAAGUGCAGUGGCAUAUUGGAAUGUGAGAUUAGCGUAAGCGAGUUACAGGGCGUUUGGCGCACGUUUGGCGCACCGUAGCAUCAGUCCUCAGUUCACUUCUUGGAACGAACAUCAGCAUAGGUCCAAGCCCUCUCGCUUGGAGGGAUAUGCAAACAAACAUCCUGAUAAGGGUAAACUCGCACGCUAGCGAGCAUUCAACCGAGCACAUGCAUGCUUAGUUGAAUGGUGAGAUGCGACCCCCCCUUCAUUUCGUGCUCGGCAAGCCUGCCACCGCGUACCGGAUAUGUUGGCGAUGUUACAGAGACGCUGCACCUUUGUUUCUGUGCGCAAUGCGUACGAUGCUCGACCCCGCCGACCAAAACUACACGUGCCCAACUGAAGACAUUCCCGGUGGUUGUGCAGCAGCUCUUGAGGCUGUUGCUGGCUGAAAUCCAUCCUGAGCUGUUGCAACACGGCUAACGCGGGCACAUCCCUAUGCACAGCAAAUAGCUGUUCCAAGCCAACAGCGGCGUCCAUGUCACCGACAAGGCUCUAAACGUCUUAUCUGUUCUUAUGUUUAAUUAAGUUUAUGUAUGUUAUACUUUGCGCAACUUUGUAAUUUGACUUUACUCUGAACAAGGUGCUGUAUACGUUGCACUACCAAAAACGCGACCGUUUGCUUGCACACAACUGCCUCUUCGCCAGACGCUUCCUCUUCCCGCGGCAGUUUCACGAGCCCAGUCUUGCAAGCUACGACGUAGGCUUUCGGUGCUUUCAGUUACUGCAAAGCAGCCACGCAAUAGUCCAGCCUGCAUGCCGCGUGCGGCUGUGGCCAACAUGCCCACCUGCGCAACGCGCUGGCACACCUCGGCCUUUUCCGCCAAGAAAAUUUAUAUACACUUCUACAGGCGCAUUUUGCGAAUCGCACGCGCGCAUCCGCGCGG